CCUACGGGAGGCAGCAGUGAGGAAUCUUGCGCAAUGGGCGAAAGCCUGACGCAGCCACGCCGCGUGCCGGAUGACGGCCCUAUGGGUUGUAAACGGCUUUUACUAGGGAAGAACGAGAGGGUUUUGAUCUUCUGUGACGGUACCUAGUGAAUAAGCACCGGCUAACUCCGUGCCAGCAGCCGCGGUAAUACGGAGGGUGCAAGCGUUGUCCGGAAUCAUUGGGUGUAAAGGGUGCGUAGGCAGGAGCCUAAGUCUGGGGUGAAAUCUUGCCGCUUAACGGUAAAAUGGCCUUGGAUACUGGGUUUCUUGAGUGCAGAAGAGGCAGGUGGAAUUCGUGGUGUAGCGGUGAAAUGCUUAGAUAUCACGAAGAACAUCAGUGGCGAAGGCGGCCUGCUGGUCUGCAACUGACGCUGAGGCACGAAAGCGUGGGGAGCGAACAGGAUUAGAUACCCUGGUAGUCCACGCCGUAAACGAUGCAUACUAGGUGUUGGCCUUAGGGCCAGUGCUGCAGUUAACGCAUUAAGUAUGCCACCUGGGGAGUACGUCGGCAACGAUGAAACUCAAAGGAAUUGACGG
rnacentral:rRNA from 1 species